rnacentral:misc_RNA from 1 species
GUGAAUCAUCGAAUCUUUGAACGCACCUUGCGCUCCUUGGUAUUCCGAGGAGCAUGCCUGUUUGAGUGUCAUGAAAUCUUCAACUUACAAGCCUUUGCGGGUUUUGUAGGCUUGGACUUGGAGGCUUUUGUCGGCCGUUGUAGGUCGGCUCCUCUUAAAUGCAUUAGCUUGAUUUCUUGCGGAUCGGCUGUCGGUGUGAUAAUGUCUACGCCGCGACCGUGAAGCGUUUGGCGAGCUUCUAAUCGUCUUAUGGACAAUGUUAUGACCUCUGACCUCAAAUCAGGUAGGACUACCCGCUGAACUUAAGCAUAUCAAUAAGCGGAGGA